UUGAACCCCACGGUUCCGGAUUGGAACCGAUCCGGACCAUCUAAAAAUAAUCUAUAUUUAUACUAUAUACCUUGCCACAGAAUAUAAUUUCUUCUCUCGUAUAAAAACUAAAAUGUGACCUAAUUUAUGCCUCUCUCAUUCACGCCUCAUCUCAUCUCUCUGUUGUCGAUGGUGUCUCUCUCUCUUCUCUUUCUCAUCUCAGACUGAGUUCUCUCUCACACUCUCAUCCAUCUCAGAUCAGAUCGGCGACGGUGUGCUGCUCGUCUCUCACUCUUGAUCAUCCAUCUCAGAUCAGAUCGGUAGCUAUAGCUAUUGUCUCUCUCUCUCUCGAUGAGCUCCUCUCUCUCUUUCUUUGUCUCUCUUGUUCUCUAAUACUCUGAAAUGGGUUUAAUCUCAAAGAAAAAACAUACGCAAUACACUGCUGUGAUUUCAUCUCAGAUCGGUGGAUUUAAUCUCGAAUCGAUUGUUCAUGUCAUCUACAAUGGAUUCAGUAAAUGUUUUCAGCAGCUAUGUUGCUAUUGGAAUGGAAAUGUAAUGUCUAUAUUUUUUUUGUUAUUUAAUUAUUUAAAUCCGUGGUCCUAAACCGAUCCAAUCCGUGUUUCAAUGGAUUGGUUCGGAUUGGUUCCACCAUUUAAACGGAUUGGAUUGGUUUUAAUUUUUUAGGAACCGUAGACAACGGAUUGGUCCUGGUUUUCUCUCAAUCCGAACCAAUCCGGUCCAUGCUCACCCCUAGUUUGGAAGACGAUCCAUUGAGUCCACUCAUGUUUUUAAUUUUAAUUUGAAAGAAGAUUUAUGUUUUUAAUUUUAAUUUGAAAGAGGAUUUAUGUUUUUAAUUUUAGCUUGGAAGACGGUCCUUUCAGUCCACC